UGGGGAAUAUUGCACAAUGGGCGCAAGCCUGAUGCAGCCAUGCCGCGUGUAUGAAGAAGGCCUUCGGGUUGUAAAGUACUUUCAGCGGGGAGGAAGGGAGUAAAGUUAAUACCUUUGCUCAUUGACGUUACCCGCAGAAGAAGCACCGGCUAACUCCGUGCCAGCAGCCGCGGUAAUACGGAGGGUGCAAGCGUUAAUCGGAAUUACUGGGCGUAAAGCGCACGCAGGCGGUUUGUUAAGUCAGAUGUGAAAUCCCCGGGCUCAACCUGGGAGCUGCAUCUGAUACUGGCAAGCUUGAGUCUCGUAGAGAGGGGUAGAAUUCCAGGUGUAGCGGUGAAAUGCGUAGAGAUCUGGAGGAAUACCGGUGGCGAAGGCGGCCCCCUGGACGAAGACUGACGCUCAGGUGCGAAAGCGUGGGGAGCAAACAGG
rnacentral:rRNA from 1 species